CCGAGCUCAACCUUGGCUGGCUCAUGCGGAGAUGGAGACUGUGGCGCCGAGGCGACGUUUUCCAUACAAAAGGAUGGGAAACUGAAUUCACUUAGGACAACUAUUGUGCGAAAAAUUUCAAAAGCAUGUCAAUCAACGGCAAAUAUGCUAUUCAAAGUACAACUAUGCUAUUCAAAGUGCAAAACAUGCAGGACGUUAACCUCAAAUCAACUUUUUGGGCUCAUUGGGUUCAUUGACUCCUCCCCCUUUCCCUCCGUCUACGGUCUAAACAGUAGGUGAACAAUAUGGAGAGAUUGUUUAUGCAAGGAAAAAUGACCAGAGACAUAGAUAGCUGUGCAGCAUUAACAUGCUACAUUAACGCUGUGGAGGAUCUUCUUGGAACAAACGUAGAGAUUAGAACAGCAGAGAGGACCUGAUGGACACAUGCGUUCAAGGAAGUCAUACAAAAUCUUGGACAAAGAUAAAUAAUUGAUGACAAUCAUGAUUAUUACACAUAUGACAAGAUGUUAAGGCUAGAUGGAUGGAUGGAUUUUUUUGUA